CUGCUUUCAAUCGCCAUGACUUGAAAAACCAAGCCAAUGACUCUUUUCUUUGUUUAUUUUUAUUUAUAUGAUUUUUAGUUGAAUGGAACAGGAGCGCCAAGCAAAGAGUUGAUCACAUAAGGGUCGUUGUUCAACUU
rnacentral:ribozyme from 12 species